UAUAUAUAUAUAUAUAUAUAUAUAUAUAUAUAUAUGAUAGUUUUACAUUUUUCUAAUAUGAGAAUGUAUUGUUUAAAUUGAUCUCUGGUCAGUAUAAAUUCAAAGAUUUUGUACAAUUCCGAGACAAAGUAUUUAUAUAUUUGCAAUAGUAAUUUUAUGAUAACAGACAAUGGGUACUUAUAUGGGGACACAAUAUAUAUGUUUAUUCAAAAUUAUUCUGGCCAUUAUAUACAGAGUAUUUGGAAAGUGCUGGGAUUCCUUAAUACUAUGCUGGGACUGUAUACUGUAACUUUCAAAUCUUAUAACUUAGAAAAUAUUUAAUGAAAAAUAAUUUUAUUAUAGUGUUUUGAAAAGCUCUUGAUACCAACCAUUAGAUUUUGGAAUAAAAAAAUAGGAUAUAAAAAACUAAGCACUUGUAUCUGCGCUACACAUGUUAAUUACCACAGGCUAAUAAUAUUUCGGUAACAUUUUAUUGGAAAUGAUCCAAAUUUUGGAUCAAAACGUUUAUUGUAAUUGUUAAGAAUUGGUUAUCAAAUUAUAUAUUAAUUAUACACGAACAUCCAGUAUUGGCCCCCAUGGUAUUUUUUUCUUAUAUUUUGAUUUACGUCUUCAGAGCCUUUCAUCAUUUAUUGUAAAAAAUAGGAUGUUUUAUUUUAAAAUUUUGAUUUGACCUAACCUUGGCGACGCCACAUAAGAUCAAUUUGAUAGAAUCGAUAAAUAGAUAUUUUUAAAUCUUACAACUUUUAUCUGAAACAUUUCUUUCAAAAAUGCUUAGUUUUCGAAAUAUUAAGGGGUUCCGAUACUUUCCGAAUACCCUGUAUAUUCUUAUCAUCAUUAAUUAUUUCAAAAAUUUAUUGCAAGUUUAAAUUUAUGUGAAUAUGUGUGUACGUGUAUAUAAUUACGUAACGUACAUAAACAUGAAUAUGUUACAAACAGCCACGUGCACGCGCGUACCGUACAUAUACAUUUUCACACAAAUUUAUAUAUAUAAUUUAUAUAUAUAUAAUUUAUAUAUAUUUAUAUAUAUAUAUAACAUAUUUACAUACAAACAUAAGAUUAACAGGCCUUUUUAUCAGUUAUAGCGGUUCUUAGUGCUAAAUAAUAACUUUUAAUUUAUAUAAUCUCUAGCCUAAUCAAACUGCGCGCUGCAUAUUCGCCGAAAACAUUGUCAUGAAACCGAAAUACGCAAUAUUAAUGCUUUAGAAGCAUUUACAAAAUUGUGAUUCCCUGAAAAAACUGUAAAUAAUUUAAUUGCGAUAAAAUAACAGCUAGGAUUCAAAGCAGGAUCUUAUAUUCUGUGCAGGUAUCUUACCAAUUCAAAUACCGAGGCAUAUACGUUUGACAUUUUUAUUAGUCCAGAUUUAAUUUAUUGUUUAUAUAUAUGCGUACAAAAUUAUAUUAUACGACAUACAUCCGUCCACUUGGAACAAUGUUUGUUCUAUUUCUACAAAAUAUGGUCUGUGUGGGUGUCUGUGUUGCGCGCACGCGUGCGUGCGUGCAUUGUGUGUAUGCAUUUAUGUAUAGGCCGUAACAACAUUUAAGAGUAAAUUCUUAAAAUCAUUUUGAGACAAAAAUCCUCAUAUCAAAAUGAGGUUAUAAUAGGUUUUAAAUAAGAAAUGUGUUGACAAAUUAGACUUUCCGAAAUAUGUGUUUUCAAAUAUGAUACAAAAUGAUCUCAGUAGUCUACUGUUAAACGUUAUGAUGUGGGACAUUUAGUGUGUGUGCGUGUGCGUGUGCGUGUGUGCGUGUGCGUGUGUGUGUGUGCGCGUGCGCGCGCGCUCACACACACACACACACACACACACAUACAUAAACACGCAAGAUGUCCGACGUUAUAUGCAACCGCUUAUGAGCAGAUAGAAUGAUUUAAAUUGAGUCGAAAAAGUCUUACAUUAUUUUAUUUUUUUUGCAAUAACGAGUUAUUAAUUUAUAAAAUUGUUAUUUAUAAGGCAUUAGGUAUGCAGAAACAAUGUGUUAUAAUUUUGUAUAAAGCGCACCUCCAAUCAUCUCUCCGCAUGUUUAGCAACGAUGAUUGCCGAAUGAUCGCAUCUCGUCGCGCGCUUGCAUCUAGCAGUAGACCAGGUGAAUUCGGUUAUUUUUAUAAAUUAAUAACUCGUUAACUAUUGCGAAAAUCGCAAAAUGAUAGGAUUUUUUUGACUCAUUGUCAGUGUAGUUGACUCUAUCUGCUCAUAAGCGAUGUUACACAUAAUGAUAAACUUGUAUGUGAGCUAUUAUAACAGAAUUUUGGAAUAUUUUUAUUUAUUACAUAUACAUACUAUGUAUCCGUCCAUUUUGCAAUAAAACUAUAUUUACAACUAACAGUUAAAUUUUAAUUUAUAUAUUGUAUGAAAAUUAAUAAUUAUAUGGAAAUGAACAUUAACAAAAAUAGAAACUAAUUAUUAUUAUUUAAAUUCCAUUCGUUAUCAUUCGCCGUACAUAAUUAUUUUAUCAAUAUAUCAAGUUUACAAAAGCAACACUGAACUCUGGUGGGAAUGUUCACGGAAUCGACGUAUCUUCUUUAUGAUUGUGAUCGUAUUAUCAUACGUGUAUAGAGGAUAACCAGUAACUUGCCCAGAGAUAAGUAGAAUAAAGAAAAUAGUUGUAUUUAUGAAAACAACUCCAAGAUCGCAUGCAGUAUAACUGACGGUAUUGCUUAGGUGCCAUUGCACAGUAGCUGCGUUGAAACAAUCGUGCAUACAACUGAUAGAGUUGCUCCGAUCAAAUAACUACACAUCAUAUUUAUCGUAAGUGUUAUCUAGUAAAUGUUGCAUACAAAAAUAUGGAGUUAAUUUUUAAAAAUGUUAAUGAUAAAAGCAAAUGACAAAUUCCGGUUACUGAAUAUUAGAAUAUUGAAUAUUCAAAAUAAAACUGUCAUUUUUUAAUUUACAAUUCAGUUGAACAAAUACUGUCGGUAAGGCGUAUUUUCUUACGUAUUUUUAUAUUAAUAAUUUAUUAUUAAGUUCAUGACAUUACACUUAAAUAUAUUUGAAUUCGGACACGAUACAAACGAUUGCAAAAUCGUACAUUGCUAUUUAUAACACGAUUUAAAUAAAUAAUCACGCAAAAGUCAAUUAAAAAUUUUUUAUUGGUUGUGAGACAGCAAAACGAGGUGAGAAGAGUUUAAUUCGAUGGGUUAUCUCUCCCAUUAUUGCUAUUAUGUCUUUAUAUCGACAUGGGCUCAUUGCUCAAUUAGUCUAUCUUUCGUUUCUUGUAAAUUUUCAUGUUUUAAAUUAAAUUGACUUUACUGAUUUUAAUAAUUUGACGCUUCAUCUUUAGACUGUUAUGAACGAUAAUCAAUUUCCAUACACUUGAAUUUCUUGAGACUGCUUGAGGUGGGAGAAGGCUUAAAUUCUGUUUUGUGGAUAUGAACUCUAAUUUACGCGGUUCACUUAAGAAAAUCCAAUAAGAGGAUCGAAACUUUUAAAUAUUUGUAGUAAUAAAUAAUAGAUAUUAUUGUUUUGUGCACUGCAUGCAUUAAUAACAGCGGUGGCUUAUUGAAAAGCUUUAAUAUUUGCAAAUAAUUUGAUUCACGUGAGUUAUAUAUACAUUUUUAUUUUAUUAAUUAAAAUUUUUUGUAGCUUAAUUUUGUGCGCAUUAAAUUUACAAAAUUAACAUUAUAACAAUAAUAAAUAAAUCUAAAACUUGUAAUAAUAUGAGCAAGACAUAAGUGAUACAGUAUCAAUAUUUCAAAUAUCGAUAUUUUAAGAUCCGAUAUAUCGAUAUUUUGUAUCGAUACUUUGGCUAUUGAUAUUUAAUAGUAUCGAUAUGAGAUGUUUCGAUAUCGAAACAUUCAAUGCCAAAUCCGAAACCAAACGCGCAUCAUAGGCCGUGUUCAGCAAAACAAACCGCUUAGUAGCAAUCGAACGUGAUUGGCUCUUACUUUUUAGAACCAACAAAUCAACGUUGAGAUUCAGUGAAAAAUCUAUAACUGUUGAGUCUGCUGGGGGUCUAUCAUGUAACAUUUCCCCUAGGGCGGAAACGUGAAAAGUGAAAAUCUUUACCAUUGAAGUUAAUGGAGAAAUUUUUCACUUUUCACGUUUCCGCUUUAGGGAAAAAGUUUCAUGAUCGACCCUCUGAACGCGACUAUGGAAAAUGAUAGCCAAUAAGAACUCUGCUUGAACGGCUAAUAAGAUACCGCGGCGCAGCGGCACCGCAACGUUUGGAAAAGUUAUCAUUUGUUUGCCAUUUACCAUUUAUCGCGAAUCUCAUUUGUUUUAUUGCUAGUGUGUACGGUCAACGGUGUGUACCACGUGCCAGUGCUAGGACUAUAACAACGCAACUCUGUCAAUUGAUGACGGUAAGUUUAUAAUAAUUGAAUGAAUUAGUGAAUGAAAUAUUUGCAUUUGCGCUAUUUUUACAUGAUAGAUUGGUUUGGUUGUUUGUGUUUGAUUUACAGAAUAUUGCUUGCUAACAAAAAGAAAUUCCUAUGUCACAAGUUUACUGCGUCAUCCUUAUUGUUUCCUAAUCUCCAACUGGUCGAUCUCCUAAACCUAAAUAGAAAAAGUAAAAGUGCAAUAACUUUUACCUUACCAUAUACCAUUUAAUGUAUUUUUAAAUGUUGUUUUGUUUCAGCGGCAUAGUAGGGGGGGGGGGCAAAGGAGGAAAGCCCUAAAUUUUUGUUAAUUUUACACAAAAUAAAAAUGUUAAAAAUUAAUACAAAUAUUAUGUAAAAAAUUAAUAUAAGAAAUAAUUAGUAGAGAUUAAUAUAAAAAAAUUAAUUAGUUGCUAUUAAUAAUGUAGUAAAGAAGACAGGGCAGCAAGAAAAAAGGACCGCUCCAGGCGCUGUAAUUUUUUACUACGCCACUGUUUCGUUUCUUAAGAUUUCUGUCCAUUAUUGUAUCCUUGCUUUAUUGUAGUGAUUUUAAUCUUUUCAUAAAUCAGAAACCUAUACGUGAUUAUGAUCCAUGAGAAGAUGUUAUAUCGUUGUUUUAUUUUUAAGUAAUAUUUUAUUUUCUGUUAGUGCCACCGGAAAGCGCAAUUUGGACAUACUUCAUAAAAACGGCGACAGGAGGAAAAUGUAAGAUUUGUCAGCUCGAUGUCAAGACAGCUAGAAAUACAACUAAUCUACACUUCCAUAUUAGUCAAGUCCACCUAGGUGUAAUGCAAAAUAGUAAUACAUCUGUGAAGAGGAAGCGAAUGACAUCGUUCGAGAAUAUUGACACAGAUUUGGAAGAAUUUGUUUCAUCUCUGGCUCUUUUAAUAUAAUCAGGAUUAACAAGAUCAAUAAAUUCUGGAUCAUCGACCAAUAAUGAAUCAACAUUAAAAAACCAAACCAGACUGGACACUUUGAAAGACAGAAAUCAUUUAAUGUCGAUGGAGGAGCCAGAGCUGCUGAUAUUACAAAUAAAAUCAUCUUCAUGCUAGCAAAAAACAAUAUGCCUUUUUCAACUGUUGAGAAGAAAAGCUUCUGCACUCUAAUAAAAACAUUAGCGUCGCUCUAUAAGAUUCCAUGCAGAAAAACUAUUACCAGAUGCUUGGAAGUAAAAUAUGAAGUAUUUUCCGAGCUCAUAAAAAAUCAAUUAUUAGCGACAAAAUACGCGUCGCUAACGACAGAUAUAUGGACGGAACCGCUCAAUACAAUAAGUUAUUUGGGUCUAACGAUUCAUUUCUUAAUGGAAGAUGACCACAAAUCCGUCACAAUAAGUGUAUCCGAAUUAUCAGAACGGUACACUUCAAAAUAUUUAAAAAAUUGGUUAGUAGAAUUGACAAGCAAAUGGAACAUUCAUUCUGAAAACAUUGCAGUCAUAGUUUCAGAUAACGCUAUAAAUAUUAAAAAAGCCAUUAUAGAUGGAUUUAGUAUCGAUAAAUACUUGUCGUGCUUUGCACAUACGUUAAAUUUAGUGGCUUCAAAAGUUAUUGACGAUUCCACUGUAGAAAAUUUUUGCAAAAAGGUAAAAACGAUUGUUUCUUAUUUUAAAAAAAUCGAUUGUUGCUGCAGACGAAUUACAAUUAAACACGGAUUUAAAGUUAAUUCAAAGCGUUGAAAUACGCUGAAAUUCAACAUAUAAUACGAGGUGUGAUCAAAAAGUAAGGUGACUUUUUGAAUUUUGCGCGCUCUGUACACUCUAAUUUCAAAAUUUUUUUUUUGUGUUGGUACACUCGU